rnacentral:rRNA from 1 species
CCUACGGGAGGCAGCAGUGGGGAAUAUUGGGCAAUGGGCGCAAGCCUGACCCAGCAACGCCGCGUGAAGGAAGAAGGCUUUCGGGUUGUAAACUUCUUUUGUCAGGGACGAAGCAAGUGACGGUACCUGACGAAUAAGCCACGGCUAACUACGGGCCAGCAGCCGCGGUAAUACGUAGGUGGCAAGCGUUAGCCGGAUUUACUGGGUGUAAAGGGCGUGUAGGCGGGGAGGCAAGUCAGAUGUGAAAACCCCGGGCUCAACCUGUGGCCUGCAUUUGAAACUGUUUUUCUUGAGUGCUGGAGAGGCAAUCGGACUUCCAUGUGUCGCGGUGAAAUGCGUAGAUAUCCGGAGGAACACCAGUGGCGAAGGCGGAUUGCUGGACAGUAACUGACGCUGCGGCGCG